CAGUAGCCACGGUAACACCAGCACCUCGAGUGGUCAGGAGGUUUAUUGGGCCUAAAGCAUCCGUAGCCGGUUGCAUAAGUUUUCGGUUAAAUCUAUGCGCUUAACGUAUAGGCCGCCGAAAAUACUGUGCAGCUAGGGAGUGGGAGAGGUACACGGUACUCGAUAGGAAGGGGUAAAAUCCUUUGAUCUAUUGAUGACCACCUGUGGCGAAGGCGGUGUACCAGAACACGUUCGACGGUGAGGGAUGAAAGCUGGGGGAGCAAACCGGAUUAGAUACCCCCGUAGUCCCUGUCUCUUAUAA
rnacentral:rRNA from 1 species